UCGAGUCGGCCUGCGCGGAAGAUGUAACGGGGCUAAACCAUGCACCGAAGCUGCGGCAGCGAACGUAUCACCCAAGACAACUUUACGGAGUUGACGAUUGACGGAGCGAAGCGACGUCAAAGCGUUCAUUAAAGUCGAGUUGGCUUAGGGAUACGUUCGUUGGGUAGGGGAGCGUUCUGUAAGCCUGUGAAGGUGUGUCGUGAGGCAUGCUGGAGGUAUCAGAAGUGCGAAUGCUGACAUAAGUAACGAUAAAGCGGGUGAAAAGCCCGCUCGCCGGAAGACCAAGGGUUCCUGUCCAACGUUAAUCGGGGCAGGGUGAGUCGACCCCUAAGGCGAGGCCGAAAGGCGUAGUCGAUGGGAAACGGGUUAAUAUUCCCGUACUUGGUGUUACUGCGAAGGGGGGACGGAGAAGGCUAUGUUGGCCGGGCGACGGUUGUCCCGGUUUAAGCGUGUAGGUGUGUGUUCCAGGUAAAUCCGGUUCACUUUAACACUGAGGCGUGACGACGAGGCACUACGGUGCUGAAGCAACAAAUGCCCUGCUUCCAGGAAAAGCCUCUAAGCAUCAGGUAACAUCAAAUCGUACCCCAAACCGACACAGGUGGUCAGGUAGAGAAUACCAAGGCGCUUGAGAGAACUCGGGUGAAGGAACUAGGCAAAAUGGUGCCGUAACUUCGGGAGAAGGCACGCUGACACGUAGGUGAAGUGAUUUACUCAUGGAGCUGAAGUCAGUCGAAGAUACCAGCUGGCUGCAACUGUUUAUUAAAAACACAGCACUGUGCAAACACGAAAGUGGACGUAUACGGUGUGACGCCUGCCCGGUGCCGGAAGGUUAAUUGAUGGGGUCAGCGCAAGCGAAGCUCCUGAUCGAAGCCCCGGUAAACGGCGGCCGUAACUAUAACGGUCCUAAGGUAGCGAAAUUCCUUGUCGGGUAAGUUCCGACCUGCACGAAUGGCGUAAUGAUGGCCAGGCUGUCUCCACCCGAGACUCAGUGAAAUUGAACUCGCUGUGAAGAUGCAGUGUACCCGCGGCAAGACGGAAAGACCCCGUGAACCUUUACUAUAGCUUGACACUGAACAUUGAGCCUUGAUGUGUAGGAUAGGUGGGAGGCUUUGAAGUGUGGACGCCAGUCUGCAUGGAGCCGACCUUGAAAUACCACCCUUUAAUGUUUGAUGUUCUAACGUGGACCCGUAAUCCGGGUUGCGGACAGUGUCUGGUGGGUAGUUUGACUGGGGCGGUCUCCUCCUAAAGAGUAACGGAGGAGCACGAAGGUUGGCUAAUCCUGGUCGGACAUCAGGAGGUUAGUGCAAUGGCAUAAGCCAGCUUGACUGCGAGCGUGACGGCGCGAGCAGGUGCGAAAG
rnacentral:rRNA from 1 species